GACAGAGGGUGCAAACGUUGUUCGGAAUUACUGGGCGUAAAGCGAGUGUAGGCGGUCUCAUAAGUCGGGUGUGAAAGCCCUGGGCUCAACCCAGGAAGUGCACUCGAUACUGCGAGGCUAGAGUAUCGGAGAGGUUGGUGGAAUUCGUCGGUGUAGAGGUGAAAUUCGUAGAUAUCGAGAGGAACACCGGUGGCGAAGGCGGGUCCACUGGGCCGGAAUACUGACGCUGAGAGCGAAAGCGUGGGGAGCGAACAGG
rnacentral:rRNA from 1 species